rnacentral:lncRNA from 1 species
UGCCGUGCUGAGCCCCUUCUCCCCCCAGCAGCCCCCACGCUGCCCUGACUCAUUGCCCCUUUCCUCCCCCCACCUAGGGUGACCCAGGGGAGCCGGGUGAGAAGGGGGAGCCGGGCCGAGCAGGCACCCCAGGGCAGACCGGGCUGCGUGGCAAGGAGGGAGAGCGUGGAGAGAAGGGUGAUGAAGGCACCCCGGUAAGUGAGGACCCCCUGGGACCACCGUUCCCCUCCUCACUGGGGAUGGGCCGAUGCACUCCCUCCUUCUCUCCCCACAGGGCGAAGCGGGUCUGCCUGGCAAACCUGGAGAGAGGGGUCCCCGGGGUCUCCCUGGCUACCGCGGCCCCGCCGGGGAGAAGGGUGACUCAGGGGACCCAGGUCCUGAAGGCAGGAACGUGAGUACCACCUUGCGUGCACCCACUGCCCUGUGGGCACCCACCACCCCAUUGCCCUGCACCCACCCUUACCCCAGGGGUACCCUCUAACCCACG